AGGGAAGGAAUUUAGGAGGAUGGGGUCCAGGGUGAUGAACAUUUAAGGAGGGAAUGUGAUGUAAUGAGCACUGGGUGUUAUAUAAGAUGAAUCACUAAAA